AGACGUAGGGGGCAAGCGUUGUCCGGAAUUACUGGGUGUAAAGGGUGCGUAGGCGGCAAUGCAAGUCUAAUGUGAAAUCCCCGUGCUUAACAUGGGGAUUGCAAUAGAAACUGUAUAGCUAGAGUGCAGGAGAGGUAAGUGGAAUUCCGAGUGUAGAGGUGAAAUUCGUAGAUAUUCGGAGGAACACCAGUGGCGAAGGCGGCUUACUGGUCCAUUACUGACGCUGAGGUGCGAAAGCGUGGGGAGC
rnacentral:rRNA from 1 species